rnacentral:rRNA from 1 species
UUCAGUGAAUCAUCGAAUCUUUGAACGCACCUUGCGCCCCUUGGUAUUCCGAGGGGCACACCCGUUUGAGUGUCGUGAAAAUCUCAACCUUCUCGGUUUCUUCUGGACACCGAAGGAGGCUUGGACUUUGGAGGCCUUUGCUGGCGUCUCUUUUGAAGGCCAGCUCCUCUCAAAUGAAUUAGCAGGGUCCUCUUUGCCGAUCCUCGACGUGUGAUAAGAUGUUUCCAUGUCUUGGCUUCUCGCUCUGUUGCCUUUGGGACCUGCUUCUAACCGUCUCGACCGAGACAACGCUUGAGCGUGUCUCCCUUCUCGGGAAACACUCUCGAGCCCACGAACCCUUGACCUCAAAUCGGGUGAGACUACCCGCUGAACUUAAGCAUAUCAAUA